UUUUCUUUCAUUUUACCCACACAACACAAACCCUAGAGAGAGACAGAGACAGAGUUAGAGAGAGAAGUGCGAUGGUGAGGUUGUGUGUCCAUUGCCUCCGACCGGCCAUUCGGCUUACCUCCUCUCUGCCUCAAGUACGUGUCGCAACAGAGAACGAAAAUUUGAGAGAGAGAAAGAACGAUCGGUAUUAGAGCCGGAGUGGUUGCUGGUUGCAGUCGUUGGAAGGCCGACGGUGAUGGUAGUGGUUGGGCAGCUUAGGGUUCCGGUCGCCGUGUGUUGUUAGGGUUAAAGUGACAUACGAAAAGCCACAGAACAUUCAUCAGACACAUCCCGCCUCCAUCCUCGAUCCGGCCACGGCCUACAGCCGGGUUUCCGGCGAAGAAGUUUAUAAUUUGAAGGCUUCGAGCUCAUAUAAAGGAAGGUUCGUAACAAUAAUCAAACCAAGAAAUGGCAGGUGCAGAUGAUAUCGAUCAACAUGUCGCAGCCAUGGUUUACGGGAUCCUUGCGAUUGCUGCUGAACUGCUGCUCUCGGCGAAGAAUCUUUCAAAAGAUGAAUUCAUCAAUAUACUGUGUAGGCAGAGCACUAGAUUCUCAAGAGGAAGCUCGAAAAUCGAUGACUAACUUCAUAAACGUGGUAGAUGAGAGGGGCGUAUGGGUCAGCUUCUAGGGAAAAAGUAAGGAACUGUUUAUCUUGAUGCUUGAUAGAUGAGACACAUACUUGAUGUAAUAGUAGUUUACUUAAAGUAUUUGUGGGUAGUUUAUUUGUAGUAUUUGUGGGUACGAGUUUUUAUAUUUGCCUUGGAUUAUUCGAAAAUGAAGUGGAAGUUGCAAAGUUUUUUAUCUAGUUUUACAAUCACAUAAUCCUUAAAA